rnacentral:rRNA from 1 species
GACGUCAAAGCGUAUACAAAGUCGAGUCGGUUUAAGGAUACGUUCGUUGGGUAGGGGAGCGUUCUGUAAGCCUGUGAAGGUGGCCUGUGAGGGUUGCUGGAGGUAUCAGAAGUGCGAAUGCUGACAUAAGUAACGAUAAAGCGGGUGAAAAGCCCGCUCGCCGGAAGACCAAGGGUUCCUGUCCAACGUUAAUCGGGGCAGGGUGAGUCGACCCCUAAGGCGAGGCCGAAAGGCGUAGUCGAUGGGAAACGGGUUAAUAUUCCCGUACUUGGUGUUACUGCGAAGGGGGGACGGAGAAGGCUAUGUUGGCCGGGCGACGGUUGUCCCGGUUUAAGCGUGUAGGUGUGUGUUCCAGGUAAAUCCGGUUCACUUUAACACUGAGGCGUGAUGACGAGGCACUACGGUGCUGAAGCAACAAAUGCCCUGCUUCCAGGAAAAGCCUCUAAGCAUCAGGUAACAUCAAAUCGUACCCCAAACCGACACAGGUGGUCAGGUAGAGAAUACCAAGGCGCUUGAGAGAACUCGGGUGAAGGAACUAGGCAAAAUGGUGCCGUAACUUCGGGAGAAGGCACGCUGACAUGUAGGUGAAGUGAUUUACUCAUGGAGCUGAAGUCAGUCGAAGAUACCAGCUGGCUGCAACUGUUUAUUAAAAACACAGCACUGUGCAAACACGAAAGUGGACGUAUACGGUGUGACGCCUGCCCGGUGCCGGAAGGUUAAUUGAUGGGGUCAGCGCAAGCGAAGCUCCUGAUCGAAGCCCCGGUAAACGGCGGCCGUAACUAUAACGGUCCUAAGGUAGCGAAAUUCCUUGUCGGGUAAGUUCCGACCUGCACGAAUGGCGUAAUGAUGGCCAGGCUGUCUCCACCCGAGACUCAGUGAAAUUGAACUCGCUGUGAAGAUGCAGUGUACCCGCGGCAAGACGGAAAGACCCCGUGAACCUUUACUAUAGCUUGACACUGAACAUUGAGCCUUGAUGUGUAGGAUAGGUGGGAGGCUUUGAAGUGUGGACGCCAGUCUGCAUGGAGCC